rnacentral:rRNA from 1 species
CCUACGGGAGGCAGCAGUAGGGAAUCUUCGGCAAUGGGGGCAACCCUGACCGAGCAACGCCGCGUGAGUGAAGAAGGUUUUCGGAUCGUAAAGCUCUGUUGUAAGAGAAGAACGUGUGUGAGAGUGGAAAGUUCACACAGUGACGGUAACUUACCAGAAAGGGACGGCUAACUACGUGCCAGCAGCCGCGGUAAUACGUAGGUCCCGAGCGUUGUCCGGAUUUAUUGGGCGUAAAGCGAGCGCAGGCGGUUUAAUAAGUCUGAAGUUAAAGGCAGUGGCUUAACCAUUGUUCGCUUUGGAAACUGUCAAACUUGAGUGCAGAAGGGGAGAGUGGAAUUCCAUGUGUAGCGGUGAAAUGCGUAGAUAUAUGGAGGAACACCGGUGGCGAAAGCGGCUCUCUGGUCUGUAACUGACGCUGAGGCUCGAAAGCGUGGGGAGCAAACAGGAUUAGAUACCCUUGUAGUC